ACACCCGAGGAGUAGGAGACGAGGGAGCAGGUCAUCCGCGAGCUCAAGAAGAUUGUGACGGAUUGGGCCAAGGCGGUGGCGUGUGAGGAGAGGGUUCCCCCGAGGCGAGGGACGGCUGCGGUCCUGACCUAUGGUUCUUACACGUUAGGGGGUUUGGACAUCAAUGCUAUAUUUCUCAAUUUUGUGGCUUUCGUACCAUUCUCAUUGGGAAUGAUUGUCCUGUGUGAUCUAUCAUGGUUAUUCUCUUCAGCAUCCAGUCCUAUGCUAGCAAGAGUGAUGACACAAGUGGAUAUGCCAAGCAAAUAUGUCCUGCUUGGAUCAUAUAUGCUUCUGUAACAACACUGAUUCAGAUUGAUACCUCCUGUUAAUUGGCUGGUGGCAGUGGCGACGCAUCAAGGUGCAAGGUAGCGGCAGCAAGUUCAUACUACGGGAAAGGAAGAUCUCCUACUAUUUUUUAUGCUCCAUGACAUAGAUAUUUGAUUAAGUCAAAGGCAACAGGACUAUCUGAUAUGUUAUCGACGUCUAAAACCCAUCUUAAGUUUUGUAUCUUAUUGAUUCUGUCAUUUACUCUGGUAAAAAGUGUUAAUGAUGGAGAAAUGGGUGAGUUAAAUAAUGCAAACCAGCAAACAAAAUGUUGU